GCUGGCGUAGCUCAGUUGGUAGAGCAGCUGAUUUGUAAUCAGCAGGUCGGGGGUUCGAGUCCCUCCGCCAGCU
rnacentral:tRNA from 3 species